AUACGGAGGAUCCGAGCGUUAUCCGGAUUUAUUGGGUUUAAAGGGUGCGCAGGCGGCCAUUUAAGUCAGCGGUUAAAUCGUGGGGCUCAACCCCAUUCUGCCGUUGAUACUGGGUGGCUUGAUUGCGGUCGAGGUUGGCGGAAUUCGUUGUGUAGCGGUGAAAUGCAUAGAUAUGACGAAGAACACCGAUUGCGUAGGCAGCUGACCAGAUAGCGAAUGACGCUCAUGCACGAAAGUGCGGGGAUCGAACAGGAUUAGAUACCCUGGUAGUCCGCACAGUAAACGAUGAAUACUUGUUUUCGGCGAUAUAAUGUCGGAGGCAAAGCGAAAGCGAUAAGUAUUCCACCUGGGGAGUACGCCGGCAACGGUGAAACUCAAAUGAAUUGACGGGG
rnacentral:rRNA from 1 species